GUGGGGAAUUUUGGACAAUGGGCGAAAGCCUGAUCCAGCCAUGCCGCGUGCAGGAUGAAGGCCUUCGGGUUGUAAACUGCUUUUGUACGGAACGAAAAGACUCCUUCUAAUAAAGGGGGUCCAUGACGGUACCGUAAGAAUAAGCACCGGCUAACUACGUGCCAGCAGCCGCGGUAAUACGUAGGGUGCGAGCGUUAAUCGGAAUUACUGGGCGUAAAGCGUGCGCAGGCGGUUUUGUAAGACAGAGGUGAAAUCCCCGGGCUCAACCUGGGAACUGCCUUUGUGACUGCAAGGCUAGAGUACGGCAGAGGGGGAUGGAAUUCCGCGUGUAGCAGUGAAAUGCGUAGAUAUGCGGAGGAACACCGAUGGCGAAGGCAAUCCCCUGGGCCUGUACUGACGCUCAUGCACGAAAGCGUGGGGAGCAAACAGGAUUAGAUACCCCGGUAGUCC
rnacentral:rRNA from 1 species